UGAAAACCUCACUCAGGUCUUGCGGAUUAGGAAAACGCUACCCCUCGAGAUGAAAGAAGAAAUGAUAAACAACUUGAAAAAGAACUGGAUGUCUUCGCCUGGGAACACGAAGAUAUGGUGGGAAUUGACCCAAGGGUCAGCUGCCACCACCUUAACAUCAAUUCAUCUUGCGCCCCACAUUGGCAAAAAAGACGAGCCCUCAACUCAGAGCGAUAUGAAGUGCUCAAAGAAGAAAUCGACAAAUUAAGCUGCAGCGACUUUAUCAGAGAAGCCAUCUAUCCGAAGUGGAUAUCUAACUCAGUCCUCGUAAAGAAACGUAGUGGGAAAUGGAGGGGGUGUGUGGAUUUCACAAAUCUAAAUAAGGCAUGUCCUAAGGACAGUUUCUCUCUCCUAGGGAUAGACCAACUGGUAGACUCCACUGCUGGACACGAGCUCCUGAGCUUCAUUGAUGCAUACCCAGGAUACAACCAGAUACCCAUGAUCUGACCUGAUGAGGAAUCCACAUCGUUUAUCACAGACAGAGGAUUGUAUUGCUACAAGGUGAUGCCUUUCGGAUUGAAAAAUGUCGGAGCUACAUAUUAGAGGCUGGUCAAUAUGAUGUUUGCCGAGCUCAUUGGCAAAACUAUGGAAGUCUACGGGGACGACAUGCUAGUUAAGAGCCUCCAGGCGAAAGAACACGUAAGUCACCUCGACCAGACCUUUCAGAUUCUUAGAAAGUAUAAAAUGAAGUUGAACCCUCUCAAGUGCACCUUUGGGGUAGCUUCGGCCAAUUUUUAGGGUAUAUUGUGAACCAAAGAGGAAUCGAAGCAAAUUCGAAAAAGAUAAGGGCCUUAUUAGAAAUGAGGUCACCUCAGAAGUCAAAGAAGAUCCAAAGCCUCAACGGCCGGAUAGCCGCACUCAGCUGCUUCAUCUCUAGGGCCACUGACAAGAGCCUGCCAUUCUUCAAAGUCUUGAAGUAAGGAAAUAAAUUUCAAUGGACGAAUGAAUGCGAGGAAGCCUUCCAAGUGCUGAAGAAUCACUUAGGAGACGCACCUCUACUAUCCAAACCUGAACCACGGGAACCCUUGCUGCUGUACUUAGUGGUCUCAGACGAGGCUGUCAGUGCAGUCCUUGUCAGAGAGGAAAACACGCAUCAACUGUUGGUGUACUAUGUUAGCAAGGCACUACUCCCAACAGAGACGCGCUACCCAGUUAUUAAAAAGCUUGCACUCUCUCUUGUUACAAUAUCAAGGAAAUUGAGGCUAUACUUUUAGGCCCAUUCGAUUGAAGUGCUCACCAACUUCCCCUUGAAGCAAGUAUUGCAGAGAACAGACGCUUCAAAUCAUUUGCUAAAAUGGGCAAUCGAACUCAGCGAGUUCGACCUAUUGUUCCGACCCCGAAACACAUCAAGGGCCAAGCCUUCACAGAUUUUGUAGCUGGGUUCGCCAAAGCCCCAGAAAUGAAGGCGACAAUGGAACCAGCCGAGCCCCCAACAUGGAAUCUAUUUGUGGAUGGAUCGUCAGGAGAGACUAGCUCGGGAGCAGGAGUUGUUUUGGAAAGCCUAAAGGGCCAUAGGCUAAACUGCGCAGUCAUAUUUAACUUCAAAGCCUCAAACAAUGCUGCGAAAUAUGAGGCCCUCCUAGCAAACCUUAGACUAGCGAAAGAAAUGCAAGUCAGAAGGCUUCUAGCAAGUAGCGACUCACAACUUGUGGUAAGUCAGGUCAAAGGAAAGUUUGCAGUCAAGGACAGUGGCAUGUCUGCAUAUCUGAAAUUGGUUCUUAACCUAGUCCCUCACUUCGAGAGAUUCGAACUAGUUCAAGUCCCACACCUCUAAAAUACACACGCUGAUGCCCUGUCCAAAUUAGCCAGCAGCAAAGAUUUGGAGUCGCUAUUUGUCCCAAUUGAGCGCCUACCAAAGCCCUUCAUAUCUGGAGAUGAAGAGGUACUAUGGAUUGAAGGCACCCUAUUUUGGAUGCAACCUAUCGUAGCCUUCCUCAAAGAUCAAUCACCAUCAGCCUCGAAAAGUGAGGAGAAGAAAUUGAGAAGGAGGGCAACUCACUUUGUUCUCCAGGAUGAUGUGCUCUACAAAAGUGGUUUCGCCUCGCCACUUCUCCGAUGCAUGGGAGGGGAAGAAGCCAUGUAUAUACUCAGGGAGAUCCAUGAGGGAGUCUGUGGUAACCACUCCGGAGGAACAGCUCUCGCGCACAAAGUACUUCGACAAGGCUACUUCUGGGCGAUCCUGAAAAAGGACUUUGCCAGUUUGUCCAAAAAUGUGACAAGUACCAGCGCUUCUCAAACAUUCAAAGACGGCCUUUUCAGAGCCUCUCCGUGGUCACUAGCCCGUGGUCGUUCGUCAAGUGGGGCAUAGACUUUAUUGGCCCGCUUCCAAAAGGAAGAGAAAGCGCUAUUUGUGUCAUUGUUGUCAUUGACUACUUCACCAAGUGGGUUGAAGCUGAACCUCUACCAAAAAUCACUGAAGUGAACACUACCAAAGUUCGUCUGGAAAAACGUCAUUUGUAGGUUCAGCAUUCCUCACUCUUUAGUGUCUGAUAACAGAAGGCAAUUCGACAACAAAAAGAUGCGAGACUUGUGUGACGAACUCAGCAUAAGGAAGGACUUCUCAACACCUCAUCACCCCCAAGAAAACGGGCAGGUUGAGGCAGUGAACAAAACUAUCAAGCAUACCCUGAAAAAGAAGCUUGACGCAUCGAAAGGGGCAUGGGUCGAUGAACUUUUUCAUGUUGUCUGGGCCAUUCGAAUGAUCAGCCGAAUUGCAACAGGUAAAACACCCUUCUCCAUAACCUACGAAUCCAAAGCCAUGAGUCCUGUCGAGGUGGGUGUCCACUCUCAUCAUCGGACACAUUUCAAUAAGAUCAACAAUGACGAAGCUCGAGUGCACGAACUUUACCUCCUUAAAGAAAGGAGGGAUUCCUCUCAAAUAAAAUUGGCUACGUAUCAAAGAAAGAUGACCCAUUAUUACAACUCUAAGGUCAAAAAUCGAACUCCUCGUGUGGGGGACCUCGUCCUCAGAAGGGUCUUCCAAUCAUCGAAGCUAACUGGGUCCAUAGUGUUUGGACUGAACUGGGAAGGUCCUUAUCACAUCCGCAAGGAGUCCUAACCCGACACUUAUGAAAUCGAAGACAUUGUAGGAAAGGUGCUACCUUAUCAGUGGAACAUUGAACACUUGAGGAAGUACUAUCAGUGACGCAUAUGUUCCGAUCUGAUCUAUAUUUUGUCCAGUUUUAUAGCAUCCUAAGCGAUGAAACUGCCUGUGAACGAUAGUUCCUAUGUUAUAAUGCCACCCUUCAUUAUUUAUGUGGGUUAAUCAAUUGGUCUCAGUUCUUCUGUGCUUUAUUUGGGUCAGCUCUUCUAUAAUCGAUUGGUUAUUAUUGGUAAGUGAUGCUUAAUAUACUUUGCUCGACACAAAUAGUUCAACAUAAAAUUAAAGGGAAAAGCAACAACACUUGCAAAAAUUUU
rnacentral:lncRNA from 1 species